UACGAAGGGUGCAAGCGUUACUCGGAAUUACUGGGCGUAAAGCGCGCGUAGGUGGUUUGUUAAGUUGGAUGUGAAAGCCCCGGGCUCAACCUGGGAACUGCAUUCAAAACUGACAAGCUAGAGUAUGGUAGAGGGUGGUGGAAUUUCCUGUGUAGCGGUGAAAUGCGUAGAUAUAGGAAGGAACACCAGUGGCGAAGGCGACCACCUGGACUGAUACUGACACUGAGGUGCGAAAGCGUGGGGAGCAAACAGG
rnacentral:rRNA from 1 species